CUAUACUGCAGUCGAGCGAAUCUGAUGGGAGCUUGCUCCCUGAGAUUAGCGGCGGACGGGUGAGUAACACGUGGGCAACCUGCCUAUAAGACUGGGAUAACUUCGGGAAACCGGAGCUAAUACCGGAUACGUUCUUUUCUCGCAUGAGAGAAGAUGGAAAGACGGUUUCGGCUGUCACUUAUAGAUGGGCCCGCGGCGCAUUAACUAGUUGGUGAGGUAAUGGCUCACCAAGGCGACGAUGCGUAACCGACCUGAAAGGGUGAUCGGCCACACUGGGACUGAAACACGGCCCAGACUCCUACGGGAGGCAGCAGUAGGGAAUCUUCCGCAAUGGACGAAAGUCUGACGGAACAACGCCGCGUGAACGAAGAAGGCCUUCGGGUCGUAAAGUUCUGUUGUUAGGGAAGAACAAGUACCAGAGUAACUGCUGGUACCUUGACGGUACCUAACCAGAAAGCCACGGCUAACUACGUGCCAGCAGCCGCGGUAAUACGUAGGUGGCAAGCGUUGUCCGGAAUUAUUGGGCGUAAAGCGCGCGCAGGUGGUUCCUUAAGUCUGAUGUGAAAGCCCACGGCUCAACCGUGGAGGGUCAUUGGAAACUGGGGAACUUGAGUGCAAAAGAAAGUGGAAUUCCAAGUGUACGGUGAAAUGCGUAAGAUUUGGAGGAACACCAGUGGCGAAGCGACUUUCUGGUCUGUAACUGACACUGAGCGCGAAAGCGUGGGGAGCAAACAGGAUUAGAUACCCUGGUAGUCCACGCCGUAAACGAUGAGUGCUAAGUGUUAGAGGGUUUCCGCCCUUUAGUGCUGCAGCUAACGCAUUAAGCACUCCGCCUGGGGAGUACGGCCGCAAGGUGAAACUCAAAGGAAUUGACGGGGCCGCACAAGCGGGGAGCAUGUGGUUUAAUUCGAAGCAACGCGAAACCUUACCGCUUGACAUCCUCUGAACCUAGAGAUGGUCCCUGGGAAGACCAUUCGUCAGCUCGUCU
rnacentral:rRNA from 1 species